rnacentral:ncRNA from 17 species
AGGUCGCCGCCACUGCCUGGUGCCCGCCGCAAGCGGGAGAAUCGGGAACACGGUUGAACUCCGUGGCGUGCCCAACGCUGUAAGGGGGACCGCGCCGGUAAAUGCCACUGUCGAUGACGGGAAGGCACCGGACGCGGGUUGAUCCCGAGCCAGAAGACCGGCCUGGCAGGCAUCGUCAUCC